UGAUUGUGUGAGGCUCUCUGAGAUG
rnacentral:piRNA from 1 species